UCCAGCUGAUCGGCCCUGCUUCCCCUGUACCUCUGUCCGUUCGUCGCUGCCUGCCAUGUCUUAAUAUCAGUUUCAGCUGUUUUAAAAGUCCGGACCAAUGGUUGAUCGUGACAGAUAACAGUUUCUUGUGCACUGAAAGUGUAAACGAGAAUCUUACCGGGGCGUUUUGUCUUUGUUAAAGCCGGUGGAUCUAAAGACUCACACAAGGCCUUAAAUCCAUCCUCGGAUUCACCUGCUACGCGGACAGCCGAACGUCGACAUGGGGGACACGGGGAGCGAACGAAAGCAAGCCUCCGAGUAACGUCAUACCCCCGCGCUGCCCGUGUGGGUUCUGGGGGUCCAGCAAAACUAUGAAUCUUUGCUCAAAAUGUUUUGCGGAUAUGCAGAAGAAACAGCCAGAUGAUGAUUGUUCCCCAAGAACAGCCUCAAGCUCCAGCGACAGCCAAGACAACGUAUUUUGUAAUGAAACAAACAGCAUCAGUGAGUCUUUGAAGCUGAUACCUAAUUCCUCAGAAGAGUCUUUGCCGGGACAGAGAGGAAUAAUGUCACGACCUGCUCAGGGCGAAAUAUCCAGCACAGAAACGGUCUUCGAAACGCUCUCCACCCAAAACGUCCUUUU